GUUGAACGCUGGCGGCAGGCCUAACACAUGCAAGUCGAGCGGUUGAAGGGAGCUUGCUCCUGGAUUCAGCGGCGGACGGGUGAGUAAUGCCUAGGAAUCUGCCUGGUCGUGGGGGAUAACGUCCGGAAACGGGCGCUAAUACCGCAUCCGUCCUGAGGUUGAAACUGGGGUAUCUUCGUACCUCACGCUCUCAGAUGAGCCUAGGUCUGAUUAGCUAGUUUGUUGGGUAAAGGCCUACCAAGGCGACGAUCCGUAACUGGUCUGAGAGGGUGAUCAGUCAAACUGGAACUGGAACACGGUCAAGACUCCUACGGGAGGCAGCAGAGGGGAAUAUUGGACAAUGGGCGAAAGCCUGACCAAGACAGGCGGCGUGUGUGAAGAAGUUCUUCGGAUUGUAAAGCACUUUAAGUUGGGAGGAAGGGCAGUAAGUUAAUAACUUGCUGUAUUGACGGUACCAACAGAAUAAGCACCGGCUAACUUCGUG
rnacentral:rRNA from 1 species